rnacentral:rRNA from 1 species
GUGGGGAAUCUUGCGCAAUGGGCGAAAGCCUGACGCAGCGACGCCGCGUGCGGGAUGACGGCCUUCGGGUUGUAAACCGCUUUCAGCAGGGACGAGGCCGCAAGGUGACGGUACCUGCAGAAGAAGCCCCGGCUAACUACGUGCC